CUAAUCACUCAUUUUUUUCACACCGUCAUCCCAAAAACCAAAAAUUGCUGUGUAGAUCAUUCCUUCUCAUCUUCAGUACAUUGAUUCAUGAAUGUGUUAGUAUCUAAAAUACCACACAUCGCGAUUAGGGUUUUCUUCAAUGUAUCUACUCCUGCAUUGCUCCUCCAUCUCUGUGUGGAUCUGAUCGUUAAUAUCAUCAUAAAGAUUUCGAAAAUUAAUCAACUAUCAUCAUUUGAUACCCAAUUGGAGCAACAUGCUUAUUCUUCAUGGUAACCCUAAUUCUUUUAGCGUAGCCUUUUCGUGUCUGAAAAUCAAGGUACCCGUAUCUCUAACCCUAAUUUUAUCAAAUUCAUUAUCAUGUAUUCAAAAUCUCAUUGUUCUAUUUCUGAUUCAUGUUGUUCAACAUCGCAAAUCCGACCACUGGAUGCCAAAAGAAGUUUUAAAUCGAUGAUGACCAAAAGUUGGUUUUUUUUUGUUCAAAUUUGUUACAUCAUAUAUAGUGCUGGAAGGAGAUCCUAUCUUAGUUUAAAGUGGGCUGAACGGGCUUGAAUUGCUGUUAACAAGAUUCCAGGUAUAUAUGUUCUUCAUUGCUAUCUGCCUUUGGUUCCAUUCAGGUAGGAAAUUUUACAUCUCCGAGUGGACAGGCGAGAGCUAUGCAGGGCAUUCUGUUCCUCAAUUAAGCCAAGCCAUUGUGAGAUACAACAAAGCAAACACAGGAAGUCCCAUUAAUAUCAAGGGUUACAUGGUGGGGAAUGCCUUAACGGAUGAUUAUAGUGAUCAUGUUGGACUUUUCCAAUUUAUGUGGGCCGCUGGUCUGAUUCUUGACCAAACUUACAAGAAAGCAAACGAAUUAUGUGACAAGGAAUCGUUUAUUCACCCCCACCUGAGUGUCAGCGGAUAACAGAUAUUGCUUAUGAUGAAAUGGGUGAUAUUGAUGCUUAUAGCAUCUUUACUCCUACUUGCACUGGCAACGGUGUCACAAAGCGGCUUCGAAGAAAAUGGUAUAGGGUAGGGCAUAUUGGGCAGAGUUAUGAUCCUUGCACCGAACAACACUCCAUAGCUUACUUUAAUUUACCGGAGGUUCAAAACACGCUUCAUGCUUAUCGUUUUAACUCAUCAAAAACCUGGGUAACCUGCAGCGGUGUUGUGGGGAUGUACUGGCAAGAUUCUCCUAUAUCUGUGCUUGAUGUCUAUCAAGAACUUAUAAUUUCAGGACUUCGUAUAUGGAUGUUCAGUGGUGAUACGGAUGCAGUGAUUCCUACCGCUUCUACACGUUAUAGCAUAUACGCUCUCAACCUUACGACAAUCAGCCCAUGGCGUGCCUGGUAUGAAGAUGCCCAGGUUUUACAUGGAAGAUUGAAACUUGAGCCUUCAUCUUGUAACGGAAAUGUGAACUGCAGUGGAAAUGUUCAUCAACCUAUGCUAUUCUCACAUUUAACAGGAUUUAGACCGGUAUAUCCACCUUAUGCAAAUGGAAGAUGUAUGCACACGCUCAUGAUUAUAAUAUCAACUCUAUUUCUAUAAAUAGUGACGGGGAGACGUUUAUUUCUGCGGAUGACCUUAGGAUAAACUUAUGGAAUCUUGAGGUUAGUGACCAAUGUUUUAAUAUCAUCGACAUGAAGCCGUCAAAUACGGAGGAUCUUACAGGAUAAGAAACCUGCAAACUUUCUUGUAACAUCCCUCCGAGUAGAGAAGUUAUCAACAAAUGUGUUUGCCACUAAGGUAUUAUGUCAUUUUAAUAUAGAGUAAAGUACACGAAUGGUCCCUGUUGUUUACAUAAACUUUUUAUUUGGUCCCUAGCUUUAUAAAAGUACACGGAUGGUUCCUGUGGUUUGAACUUUGUAACGCAUUUAGUCCCAAGCCAACAAAUCUAAAGGUUUUAGCAUGUCCAAGUUAGGGACUAAAUGCUUUACAAAGUGCAAACCAUAGGGACAGAUGCAUACGUGCAAAUAUAAUGCCAUCAACCCGUUUGGAACAGAUGCAUACGUGCGUUAUAUGCUUCUUAAAAGGCUGCAAGAGUAAGUUACCAUAAUACCAUAUCCAUAUCCUAAAUUUUUUGUUUAAAAAUUGAGCAUGUGAAACAGACGUACCAAAAUAGAAGAUGGCAACAAGAUGAUCCAAGGAGUGGGUGUGGAGUCUCUUUCUGAAGAGGAGCUUCAUCAAGCAUGUUGGGAUCGUGGCUUACUUGGAUUGUGCUCGGUUGAUAAAAUGAAGCAACAGCUUAUUUUGAAAUAACAAAUAAGUUUAAAUAUUUGUAUUGUCAUAACAAAAAAUUAAAAGGGUUUAUACUUAUUAUUGCAGAUUCGUGAUUCGUUGGACUUCUCCCUUAACCAUUCAGUACCAUCUUCGUUAGGAUUCUCACACCGAUACUUUUGAGGCUAGCCAACAUAAGAAGCUAGCGGAAAAAAAGGAUGCUGGUGAUUAUCACUCUCGGAAGCUUUGGGGCAAUCACUCAGUUUAAAUCGAUUCUUCCAGAUAGAAAAACGAAAGUCGACAUCUCUCUAGCUGGCCCAUUUGUAGGGUCCGCACUAUCACUUUCAAUGUUUGUUGUUGGGCUGCUACUUUCUUUAAAACCAGAAACUACAGCUGUUAUGGUGCAGGUUCCUAGCAUGCCUUUUCAGGGCUCUCUACUCCUCGGGCUCUUUAGUAGAGCAACUUUAGGUUAUACGUACAUCUUCCUGCUUCACAAUAUUGCAAGAUGCUGGAAGAUGUAUUCACACGCUCAUGAUUAUAAUAUCAACUGUAUUUCUAUAAAUAGGAAAAACUUAUGGAAUCUUGAGGUUAGUGACCAAUGUUUUGAUAUCAUCGACAUGAAGCCGUCAAAUAUAGAGGAUCUUACAGUUGUCUCAGUUUAGAAACAACGCAAGGCUGAAAACGAUACGAUGAUCAAAUGACGAACGACUCUCCAAAGGUACGUUUCAGAUGGGAAGUAGAAAGUUCAACAUUUCCGUCCACAUUAUUGGUUUCUUCACCAAUAAGAACGUCAUUGUGAAUUUUGAUAAAACACCUGUUGGAGGUGAACAACGUACGAAAGUGACGCGAUAGAUUACUGAUAGUGUGGAUUUGAAGUGUGGGAUCAGCAAUCCAGCUCAGAAGGCUUAUUUUUCCAAGUUUCCGGGUUGAGUUUGAAAUUGUUUGAUGUUUUAUAUCAUCUAACACUAAGAUUGAUUCAUAUACCAUUAAAGAUGCUUAGAGAUGUCGUAUGGGGUGUUUUAUGAAUUGUAACUUUUGGUGCAAAUAUCAAUUCUGGUGAUGUACAAAUCAAUUUGAAAUUUUGUGCAUAGAGUUUGAUUGAUGAAUAUAAGUUGUUUUACUUUAAUA